rnacentral:rRNA from 1 species
UUAUGGCUCAGAUUGAACGCUGGCGGCAGGCUUAACACAUGCAAGUCGAGCGGGGAAAGGUAGCUUGCUACCUGACCUAGCGGCGGACGGGUGAGUAAUGCUUAGGAAUCUGCCUAUUAGUGGGGGGACAACAUCUCGAAAGGGAUGCUAAUACCGCAUACGUCCUACGGGAGAAAGCAGGGGACCUUCGGGCCUUGCGCUAAUAGAUGAGCCUAAGUCGGAUUAGCUAGUUGGUGGGGUAAAGGCCUACCAAGGCGACGAUCUGUAGCGGGUCUGAGAGGAUGAUCCGCCACACUGGGACUGAGACACGGCCCAGACUCCUACGGGAGGCAGCAGUGGGGAAUAUUGGACAAUGGGGGGAACCCUGAUCCAGCCAUGCCGCGUGUGUGAAGAAAGGCCUUUUGGUUGUAAAGCACUUUAAGCGAGGAGGAGGCUACCGAGAUUAAUACUCUUGGAUAGUGGACGUUACUCGCAGAAUAAGCACCGGCUAACUCUGUGCCAGCCGCAGC